rnacentral:rRNA from 1 species
AACGAACGCUGGCGGCAUGCCUAACACAUGCAAGUCGAACGAGACCUUCGGGUCUAGUGGCGCACGGGUGCGUAACGCGUGGGGACCUGCCCUUAGGUUUGGAAUAACUCCCCGAAAGGGGUGCUAAUACCGGAUAAUGUCUUCCGACCAAAGAUUUAUCGCCUUUGGAUGGGCCCGCGUUGGAUUAGCUAGUUGGUAGGGUAAAAGCCUACCAAUGCGACGAUCCAUAGCUGGUCUGAGAGGAUGGUCAGCCACACUGGGACUGAGACACGGCCCAGACUCCUACGGGAGGCAGCAGUGGGGAAUAUUGGACAGUGGGCGAAAGCCUGAUCCAGCAAUGCCGUGUGAGUGAUGAAGGCCUUAGGGUUGUAAAGCUCUUUUACCCGGGAUGAUAAUGACAGUACCGGGAGAAUAAGCGCCGGCUAACUCCGUG